UUACACCACAAUGAAAAUAUGUUUAUAAACAUGCACAUACAUUGAAUGCAAGUUGACAAACAAAUUAACCUAGAGGAAGCAUAGUUUUGACCAUCUUAACAAUCAUCUAGAACACACGAGUCACAAAAAGAUAAGGACUAUUGGUUACUAUGAGAGACUUCAGAUGGUCCAGAACACACAAGUUUGUAUCUACAUGCACAAAGUGCAAGCUCCAUAACACUCGAAACACCAAAUGGUAUACAAGACAAUAAGGUCCAUGUUUACAGGUUGGUUGGUCC
rnacentral:lncRNA from 1 species